rnacentral:tRNA from 1 species
CGGGGUAUAGCGUAGUCUGGUUUAUCGCGCCUGGUUUGGGACCAGGAGAACACAAGUUCAAAUCUUGUUACCCCGA